rnacentral:rRNA from 1 species
UGACGGAGAGGCGUAAGGAAUGCGUACUGACGGAAUAGUACGUUGAAGUGUGUAGGCGUUGAUAAGACAGGCAAAUCCGUCAUAGAGCUGAGGCACGAUAGUAUCCCUCCUUGCUUGCAAGGAGGGAAUAAUUUCCCCAAGCGAACUUCCAAGAAAAACCUCUAAGCUAUAGGUAUAUACAGCUCGUACCGUAAACCGACACAGGUAGUCGAGGAGAGUAUCCUAAGGCGCUCGAGUGAAUCAUGGCUAAGGAACUAGGCAAAAUGGCCUCGUAACUUCGGGAGAAGAGGCGCCCCAUUAGAAAUAAGGGGGCCGCAGUGAAAAGGCCCAGGCGACUGUUUAGCAAAAACACAGGACUCUGCGAAAUCGAAAGAUGAAGCAUAGGGUCUGACACCUGCCCGGUGCUGGAAGGUUAAGGAAGGGGGUUAGCGCAAGCGAAGCUCUUGACUGAAGCCCCAGUGAACGGCGGCCGUAACAAUAACGGUCCUAAGGUAGCGAAAUUCCUUGUCGGGUAAGUUCCGACCUGCACGAAUGGUGUAACGAUCUGGGCACUGUCUCGGCCAUGAGCUCGGUGAAAUUGAAGUAUCGGUGAAGAUGCCGGUUACCCGCAGUGGGACGAAAAGACCCCGUGCACCUUUACUAUAGCUUCACAUUGAGCUUGAGUAUAAGAUGUGUAGGAUAGGUGGGAGACUAUGAAGCUGUCACGCAAGUGAUGGUGGAGUCAUCGUUGAAAUACCACCCUUCUUAUACUUAGGUUCUAAUCCUGUUGAAGACGGGAGACAUUGUGUGGUGGGUAGUUUGACUGGGGUGGUCGCCUCCAAAAGAGUAACGGAGGCUUGCAAAGGUUCCCUCAGCAUGGUCGGUAAUCAUGCGUAGAGCGUAUUAGUACAAGGGAGCUUGACUGAGAGACCGACGGGUCGAACAGGUAGGAAACUAGGCUAAAGUGAUCCGGUGGUUCCGUAUGGAAGGGCCAUCGCUCAUAGGAUAAAAGGUACGCCGGGGAUAACAGGCUUAUCUCCCCCAAGAGCUCACAUCGACGGGGAGGUUUGGCACCUCGUUGUCGGCUCGUCACAUCCUGGGGCUGGAGAAGGUCCCAAGGGUUGGGCGGUUCGCCCAUUAAAGUGGCACGCGAGCUGGGUUCGGAACGUCGCAAGACAGUUCGGUCUCUAUCUACUGCGGGCGUGGGAAUAUUGAGAAGAUCUGACACUAGUACGAGAGGACCGUGUUGGACAGACCUCUAGUGCACCUGUUGUGGCGCCAGCUGCAUCGCAGGGUAGCUAUGUCUGGAACGGAUAAGCGCUGAAAGCAUCUAAGCACGAAGCCAACUUCAAGAUGAGUAUUCCAUCCCGGCGCGAGUCGGGAGAAGGGUUGUUGUAGAUCACGACGUUGAUAGGCUAUAGGUGGAAGUGCAGUAAUGUAUGGAGCCGAGUAGUACUAAUUACCCGAAAGCUUCCUAA